GCGCGCUGUGUCGCCAGUGCGUCCGCACAGCCCGGUGCGUCCGGUGGACAUGCCCAGCACAUGCCGUGCUAGGAAGGGCAUCCAGCCAGGACGAGUGGCAAAACCGGCUCCACGCUUCAGUUCACCAGUGCGUGUUCACAGUCCUGUCUGGCCCGUCCCUGCUCCCCGCACCAAGUCCACAGUGCAUGUCCCCAGUCCUGUCCGGCCCGUCCCUGCUCCCCGCACCAAGCCCAAGGUGCGUGUCCCCAGCCCUGCCAGUCAGCAGUCGUCAGAGCUGCCCGCCAGUCAACAGUCGUCAGAGCUGCCCGCCAGUCAACAGUCGUCGGAGCUGCCCGCCAGUCAACAGUCGUCGGAGCUGCCCGCCAGUCAACAGUCGUCAGAGCUGCCCGCCAGUCAACCAUCGCCAGAGCUGCCCGCCAGUCAACAGUCGUCAGAGCUGCCCGCCAGUCAACAGUCGUCAGAGCUGCCCGCCAGUCAACAGUCGCUAGAGCUGCCCGCCAGUCAACAGUCGUCAGAGCUGCCCGCCAGUCAACAGUCGUCAGAGCUGCCCGCCAGUCAACAGUCGCCAGAGAGGUCAGACUGCGCUGAACUGCCGGAGUGGCCAGACUGCGCUGAACUGCCGGAGUGGCCAGACUGCGCUGAACUGCCGGAGUGGCCAGACUGCGCUGAACUGCCGGAGUGGCCAGACUGCGCUGAACUGCCGGAGUGGCCAGACUGCGCUGAACUGCCGGAGUGGCCAGACUGCGCUGAACUGCCGGAGUGGCCAGACUGCGCUGAACUGCCGGAGUGGCCAGACUGCGCGGAACUGCCGGAGUGGCCAGACUGCGCGGAACUGCCGGAGUGGCCAGACUGCGCGGAACUGCCGGAGUGGCCAGACUGCGCGGAACUGCCGGAGUGGCCAGACUGCCCCGAACUGCCGGAGUGGCCAGACUGCCCCGAACUGCCGGAGUGGCCAGACUGCCCCGAACUGCCGGAGUGGCCAGACUGCCCCGAACUGCCGGAGUGGCCAGACUGCCCCGAACUGCCGGAGUGGCCAGACUGCCCCGAACUGCCGGAGUGGCCAGACUGCCCCGAACUGCCGGAGUGGCCAGACUGCCCCGAACUGCCGGAGUGGCCAGACUGCCCCGAACUGCCGGAGUGGCCAGACUGCCCCGAACUGCCGGAGUGGCCAGACUGCCCCGAACUGCCGGAGUGGCCAGACUGCCCCGACCUGCCGGAGUGGCCAGACUGCCCCGACCUGCCGGAGUGGCCAGACUGCCCCGAACUGCCAGAGUGGCCAGGGACGCCCGCCAGCCCGGUGAGUCCUGUGCCUACGCCUAGGGCCAGGCCUCUGUCAUGUCUCCCCAGCCUGGUGAAUCCUGGGUCAGUGCCGUCAGAGCAGCCAGGGUCGCCCGCCAGCCAGGCGCAACCAUCACCGCCCGC
rnacentral:lncRNA from 1 species